GGGAGAAAACGCAUCCUUAGCAAGGCGGGGGCCAGGGGCAAUCGAGGCAUUCACUCUGCCAGGGAGAACUGACCCAGAGAGCCGCUGGAGGGCCCAGUCCCCGCCCUGGUCUUCCUCGGUGCUCUGGACGGCGGCCAGCACCGCUCAGCUUUGAAGGGAAAGACGGGAAAGUGCCAUCUACAAGGCCCAGCCACACUCACGGCAUCCUGCGCGUCAUGCACAUUGUCUGUUUAAUCUUCACAACGAGCUAAUAGGAAAAGGGUGACCAGAAGGUUUAUCAAUCUCUCCAACAUCACGCAGCCUGUGAGGGGCACAGUCCAGUUUCACACCGGGUCCCAUGACCUGAAGAGCCGUGAUCUCUCCUGAUCGGCCGGGCUGCCCCUUCCCAGUGCUCCCACUGGUGCUCCCACAGCCCCAGGGAAAGCUCUGUUGGCCCAGACAUAGCCCGGGACCCACUCUCUGCCGGGGUCCCUUGUUCCAGGAAGUGGGUGGCCAGGAGCUGUGCCCCUGGGAGCAGUUGCCAUUUGUUUGCUGCCUACAACUGCUGGGCCUGGCUAAGCAUUUUGUGUUCCCACAGCCGCUGAGGCAAGAGCCUACGACAGCCCUCACGGCUGCUUGGACAGGAUUUCCAAUUACCCAUCUCAAGCCCUUCCAGCUUUCCAGCGUCUGUCCACAAAAGAGGAGAGUGACCUCGCGAUCUCUGAUUGCCACAGCUGGCUGGGGACACUGCCGUCUCACAAAUGUCAGGACGGUGGCCACAGGACUGCGUGACUCCAUGUGCCCCAUGCUGACAAGGCCCUCAGGCACCAUCGCCAGGAGGCCGCUUAAAACAUUUACUGCUUCAUCACUCCAGCGGUUCUCUCAUAUAUCCUUUUUGAAAAUUUUAAGUGGACCUCAUAAAGCCUGAUAGUUGGGCUUUUGAUAGUGGCAGUUAAGUGGUGAAUGCACAGAACUCGGAGUGAGAACUGGGCUGGUGACAGAUGACCUAAUAUAUAACCCCUCCCCUCCCCUCCACCCAGAAAUACAAACCUGUCCCCUUCUCGUCCUGCCCACCCCUCAGGUGAGACUGAUGGGGGUGACUAAGGUAUUGAUGGGAGCAGGCUGUGGAUGGUUGCUACCUAAUGGUCCCCCACGAACCCCACCUCCCAGAAUUCCCAUCCCAUGUGGCCUCCUAACACGCUGAAUCUGGGCUGGGCCCCUGACACAACAGGAAGCAGCAGGAAGGACUCUGUGCAAACCCCAGGCUGGUCUGUAAGAGGUCUGGAAGCUUCUGCUUUGCUGCCUUGCUGUCCUAAGUAAGGAAGCCCGAGCCAGCCUCCUUGAGGGCCCCAGUCAUUUAGGCCACCCCACCAGGGCCCCAGAUGAGCCACCAGCUGAUUACAAAUGCCUGGGAGAGCCCAGCUGACACCAUGUAGAGCAGAGACAAGCUGCCCAGCAAUCCCAGCCUUUAUCGUCGGAUUCCAAGCCAACGCAUGGUUGCUGUUUCACACCACUAACUUCUGGAACGGUUUGUUAUACACAAAGGCUAACGAGUGUCUGUUGUUCUGGUCUGGUGCUGGGGUUAAAAUAAGAUUGUGAAGCCCUGAUGCAUAGGCAGUGAAGUUGGAUGAAGAGGAGCUAGCUCAGAUGAUGGCAGCAAGAGACAGAAGGCUUUGCUUCUUGUAGGAGCUACUUGCUCCUUUGUACAUCUGAGCUCUGUCAACACCAAACUACAGUAAAGGUUUCUGGUAGACCAGCUACUGAAAAAUUCUGUUCUCAGUCAGCUUCAUCCUCAACAUGUGCUAUUGAUUAGAAGAAGGAAUUCUUUUAGCCCCAGUGAAACUGCUAUCCAAAAGUAAGAAGGAAGAAAAAAGUCUUGAAAUACUCUAGAUGAUACUGGUGUAGUCUUUGCAAAAUAUCUUUACUUAAUUAGGUUUUCAUGUUUUCCUUCAACCUUUGUUAAUUGGCAAAGCAAGAAAGAACUAUUGAAAAAAAGUACUUCUGCAUUUUCUGGAACAAUGUUUUCUAAGAUAUUGCCUGUUGUAUAUUAUAUAUUAUUAUAAUAAUAUGUAUGUUGCCCGUUAAAUAUUGUAUACACACACACAUAUAUAUACACACAUAAAUAAUACCCCUCAGGACUUAGCUAAAGUUCUUUAGCUUGGAGUUAAAGAACUUGUGUUUUUUCUUAUACCUAAACACAAGUACAUAACCCAUCAUAUUUGCCUUUUUGCUAAGGCUGCCAGGAAGCUUGGAUUCAAAUAAAAUGACUAAUUCAAAGGAUUCUGUCAACAUUUAUGCUUCCCUACCAUUGCUAAGGCUUUGGUUUUCAAGUUCUAGUUUAAUAGCUACAUUAUCUUUUUUCCCUCCUGGGUAAACUACCUUUAAUUAUUUUUUUGUGUGAAAUAUUUAUAAAUAACAUUGAACAAAGUAUCUUGGUAGGCCAGGACAGGAGUAUAAUUGUGGGAGAAAGGGGGAAG